rnacentral:misc_RNA from 1 species
AACGCACCUUGCGCUCCUUGGUAUUCCGAGGAGCAUGCCUGUUUGAGUGUCAUUAAAUUCUCAACCUCACCAGUUUUGUUAUGAGACUGUGUAAGGCUUGGAUGUGGGGGUUUAUGCAGGCUGCCUCAGUGCGGUCUGCUCCCCUGAAAUGCAUUAGCGAGUUCCAACUGGGCUCCGUCUAUUGGUGUGAUAAUUAUCUACGCCGUGGAUUGGGCUUAGACUUGCUUCUAACCGUCCGUCAGGACAACUUAUGACAAUUUGACCUCAAAUCAGGUAGGACUACCCGCUGAACUUAA